rnacentral:lncRNA from 1 species
UAAUGACUCACAUCUCCUUCAUAUCUUUUUAUUUCAGAUGAAUGCUGUAUGGAUUCUGAAAUGUGAGACAUAUGCUGAACACCUAAUUGGGCUGCCAAUGGCUCAAAAAUAUUAUAAGUUCAGAAACUCAGUGCUGCGAGUUGGCAUCACUUCGAAUCAACUUCCAGUAGCCUGUAAACGCGGCUGAAUGGAUUCCUUAAAAGAAAAUUAGCUCUAAAAUGUAAGUGAAGACCUGCUGUCAAAAACCCAGCCGAUGCCACGGCAAAGCCAAACUAGGCGAGGCCAGGCAAGGGACCCCCGCACUGCCGGAGCGGCCGGGAGAGGGAACCAGCCGGUUGAGCUUCACACUCCGAGCAGCCGUGGCAAAUCUCAGGAACACGAACGCUGUUCCCCGGAAUCGCGCUCAGCUUUUACUAACUCGAAGACAGUGUGAGCGGCAGAACCCGGAGCGUGUGUCGGCGAAGAAGCACCGCGAGCCGCCUCACUCCGGGCGAGCCCUUAGCAAAGGAGCAACACGAGCGCCCGGCGGGAUCAGCAGCAGCAGCAGCAACAACAACAAGGGCACCGGGAGGGCUUCCCUCCUUCCUUCUCGGUGA